ACAACAGCCAUAGUUUAUUGGAUCUGAAUAUCCUACUUGGAUACCUGUGGUAAUUCUAGAGNUAAUACACGCAAAAAAGCCCUGACCUUUCGGGAAGGGCGCAUUUAUUAGAACAAGACCAAUUGGCUUCGGCCAUUCAUUGGUGACUCUGAAUAANUACGCAGAUCGCACGGUCUCGUACCGGCGACAUAUCCUUCAAGUGUCUGCCUUAUCAACUGUCGAUGGUAGUUUACAUGACUACCAUGGUUGUAACGGGUAACGGAGAAUUAGGGUUCGACUCCGGAGAGGGAGCCUGAGAAACGGCUACCACAUCCAAGGAAGGCAGCAGGCGCGCAAAUUACCCACUCUCAGCUCGAGGAGGUAGUGACGAAAAAUAACGAGACAGUUCUCUAUGAGGUCUGUCAUCGGAAUGGGUACAAUCUAAACCCUU
rnacentral:rRNA from 1 species